rnacentral:SRP_RNA from 1 species
GCCGGGUGCAGUGGCGUGCGCCUGUAAUCCUGCUGCUGGGAGGCUGAGGCUGGCGGAUCGCUUGAGUCCAGGAGUUCUGAUCUGCCCUGCGCUAUGUCGAUCGGGUGUCCGCACUAAGUUCGGUAUCAAUAUGGCGGGGCCGUGGGAGCUCGGCUUCACCAGGUUGCUCUAAGGAGGGGUGAACCGGCCCAGGUCGGAGACGGAGCAGGUCAAAACCCCGUGCCGAUCAGUAGUGGGCCCGCGCCCGUGAAUAGCCGGGCAGGCAGCCUGGCCAACACAGCGAGACUCUGCUUUUA